rnacentral:rRNA from 1 species
CCUACGGGUGGCAGCAGUGAGGAAUAUUGGUCAAUGGCCGGAAGGCUGAACCAGCCAUGCCGCGUGAAGGUCAGUGCACUAUGGGCGGUAAACUUCUUUUGUCCGGGAGCAAUAAUUGUCAUGUGUGGCCAGACGAGAUUACUGUACGAAUAAGCAUCGCUUAAUACCGUGCCAGCAGCCGCGGUAUUCCGGGGGAUGCAAGCUUUAACCGGGUUUAUUGGGUUUAAAGGGUGCGUAGGCUGUGAGGUAAGUCAGCGGUGAAAUGCCCCCGCUCAACGGGGUGAAGUGCCAUUGAUACGGGCUAACUAGAAUGCGGAUGCCGUGAGAGGAAUGUGUGGUGUAGCGGUGAAAUGCAUAGAUAUCACACAGAACACCGAUUGCGAAGGCAUCUCACGAAUCCGCGAUUGACGCUGAUGCACGAAAGCGUGGGGAUCAAACAGGAUUAGAUACCCUUGUAGUC